CCAAGCUUCAGACAUAAGGUGUGUCACUUAUCAAAUACAAGCGGCCAGUAUGCCACGGUGCACAUCAGUUUGAUUUGGAACUGCUGAUCUCCCAUUCCUUGGACACCUACAGAGAAUGCCAGCUGACAUCUGAAGAUACAUGCAUUAGGAUUUCGUCCUGCCCUGAGUCAUGUCGGCAACAACCUACCAUCAGCUAAAAGUGUGACCUUUCUCUAGAAGGGCUCCUCAGCCUGACAAGGUUAUUAUGUUCUCUGAGAGAUUUUGCCAUCCACGCAUCCGCUGACUAAAGAAAAUCCUUAGCAAACAGCACUCAUUAUCCAAGGUCCAGACAGCAUCUGAGCUGGAACAGAGCACAGCAAAUACCAACAGGCUUGUCUGCAAUCACCUUCCCAAGACUAUCUGUACCUCUCACCAGGAUCAGCAGGGUCUUUCAUCCAUGGUAAGCACUAUUUGUGAAAAUCCACAUAGAGCUCUGGGUCCUGUGCAGCCUCUCCCCCUGGCUCCUUCCUUAGGCUCGGGCCAUCAUCCAGCAUCUCUCCUGAGGUGUGCAGCAAACAUCCCCGCAGAGGUGACCCCAUUUUCAGGAAACUCUGAGGAGCCAGCUGGAUCCAAACUUCCUCCAGAAAGGUGACAUCAACUACAGUUCUCCAGUAAGAUACGCUCUGAUGGCUUUCCCUGGAGAUGAUGUUCCUCAAGACACCACCUCAUGCCACAGUGAAUGACUUUGCACAAGGUGUCACGCAGGGGGUCCAGAGGUUUAGUUUGCAGAUGGAUGCACUACUAUAAAAGUGUAAUUAGGUCUCCUGUAUACACACAUGGAAUUAACUCUUCUCUUUGCCAAGUAGCUCAGUCCAAUAGCUCCUAAGCAACAAACAUGAUUUACUUAAUGGAGCUGCCUUUCCUCUUCCUCUCAUGUCUCUCUUCUCUCAGAAAUGCUGGGGGUUUUUCAAACUUUAAUUCUAAAAUAUACAAACUGUCCUCUCCCCACCCCCAAUGAAUUUAGCCUCUAUCAGAUAAAGAAGGCUCUCUGAAAAGAGUCUUAUCUUCUAGACUGAGCAAUUAAUAUACAUUUAUUAAAAUGUAUAUUUUAAUAUUUCUCUCUUUGGAAAACAAAGUAAAAAGCUAAAAAAAAAAAAAACCAACCUAAACCAGUGAACCUGAAACAGUGCAUCUUCAGAGGUGUUCUUAACUAGCAAAAUGUACUGAAUGAUUAAUAAAUGUGUUCUUUGACUAGAAGGAUGAACUAUGACACAAGUCAAUUUGUGCACCGAUUUCAUAAAACCAUGUUGAGUAAGGACAUAUUUUUGACCCAAUAAACCUACAUAAAGAUA